rnacentral:rRNA from 1 species
UGCCUUUAAGACGAGGAUAACAACCGGAAGGUUACUAAGACUGGAUAGGAAACAAAAAGGCAUCUUUUUGUUUUUAAAAGACCUUCUUACGAAGGUAUGCUUAAAGAGGGGCUUGCGCCACAUUAGUUAGUUGGUAGAGUAAAAGCCUACCAAGACGAUGAUGUGUAGCUGGACUGAGAGGUUGAACAGCCACAUUGGGACUGAGACACGGCCCAAACUCCUACGGGAGGCAGCAGUAGGGAAUUUUCGGCAAUGGAGGAAACUCUGACCGAGCAACGCCGCGUGAACGAUGAAGUAUUUCGGUAUGUAAAGUUCUUUUAUUGAAGAAGAAAAAGUAGUGGAAAAACUAUAUUGACGUUAUUCAAUGAAUAAGACCCCGGCUAACUAUGUGCCAGCAGCCGCGGUAAGACAUAGGGGGCGAGCGUUAUCCGGAAUUAUUGGGCGUAAAGGGUGCGUAGGCUGUUAGAUAAGUCUAUAAUUUAAUUUCAGUGCUUAACGCUGUCUUGUUAUAGAAACUGUCUUGACUAGAGUGAGAUAGAGGCAAGCGGAAUUCCAUGUGUAGCGGUAAAAUGUGUAAAUAUAUGGAGGAACACCAGAAGCGUAGGCGGCUUGCUGGGUCUUUACUGACGCUGAGGCACGAAAGCGUGGGUAGCAAACAGGAUUAGAUACCCUGGUAGUCCACGCCGUAAACGAUGAGUACUAAGUGUCGGGGUAAAACUCGGUACUGAAGUUAACACAUUAAGUACUCCGCCUGAGUAGUACGUACGCAAGUAUGAAACUUAAAGGAAUUGACGGGACUCCGCACAAGCGGUGGAUCAUGUUGUUUAAUUCGAAGAUACACGAAAAAUCUUACCAGGUCUUGACAUACUCUGCAAAGCUAUAGAAAUAUAGUGGAGGUUAUCAGGGAUACAGGUGGUGCAUGGUUGUCGUCAGUUCGUGUCGUGAGAUGUUAGGUUAAGUCCUAAAACGAACGCAACCCUUGUCGUUAAUUGCCAGCACAUAAUGGUGGGGACUUUAACGAGACUGCCAAUUAAACAUUGGAGGAAGGUGAGGAUUACGUCAAAUCAUCAUGCCCCUUAUGAUCUGGGCUACAAACGUGAUACAAUGGCUGUGACAAAGAGUAGCUGAAACGCGAGUUUUUAGCCAAUCUCAAAAAAGCAGUCUCAGUUCGGAUUGAAGUCUGUAACUCGACUUCAUGAAGUUGGAAUCGCUAGUAAUCGCGAAUCAGCAUGUCGCGGUGAAUACGUUCU